AUGAGGGCGAAACUUCUACAGGACGAAACACCCCGGGCUUAACAUCCUAGAACCAUUUAAAAUACGCCUAAGGAUUUUCUAGGAAGUAUUUAGAAGAUAUAUAGACCUGUAAUUAUUUAUUUCUUCUCCCAAGUGAUUAGUAUCAAUGGCAAAGAUCCGGUGCUCAUGAAGUCUGGAACGAAUUACCUUAUAAAUAUAUCUUCAUAGACCGUAUGAAGAACAGUGGUUAGCUGCGUAUUAAAAGAUUUAUAAAAUUCAAAGGGCAGGCCCGAGAGCCCUGGAGACUUGUAUUUCCUGAUAAAGUCCCAAGGAGCGUUGUAAAGAUAAUUUCCAAUUUAAAGGAUCUUUUAUGAGUCGCCAAUUGUAACAAAAUUCGUACAGAAUAUGACACUCAGGGUAGCCUUAUAAUUUAGAAUAAAGAUUACAAGCUUCUACAGCUAUUUCAAUGGGAUUUUCAGUUAUUUUCCCUGUUUGCAUCCUUAGAGAUGUCAUUUUUUCCUUGUGUCGAAGGUCUUGCAAAUAUUUGAAAGAAAACUUCCCUGGAAUGUUGAGGUCCACCAGGCGUGAGUUGCGUAUGAUCCCGGGAUAUCCACUAAACGAAGUACUUCCCUUAGUUGAAGGAAAUAAUCACAUACCCCCACUCUGUAUCUAGCAAUGAUAUAUGGAAGAAUUACUCAGAUACAAUCUUCAACUCUACUCCGAGUCCAACAAAGACCUACUCUUAAUACUCCGUAACAAAUCCUCAGUGUUACUUUUUAUCUAUCAUAC
rnacentral:lncRNA from 1 species